GAGCUGGCCGGCCGCCAGAGCGCACAAAGACGUGUCUUGCAGUGCGUACGUACCGGUGGACUCGCAAUGCACGACUCGCUCGCUGUCUGGCUGGUCGUGCUUGUGCUAGAAAGUCCCCGUGGAAGCUUUGGAAGUCUACUAGCACGCGCCCGAGCCAUCCUUUG
rnacentral:misc_RNA from 1 species